GAUGAACGCUAGCUACAGGCUUAACACAUGCAAGUCGAGGGGAAACGACAUCGAAAGCUUGCUUUUGUGGGCGUCGACCGGCGCACGGGUGAGUAACGCGUAUCCAACCUGCCCACCACUUGGGGAUAACCUUGCGAAAGUAAGACUAAUACCCAAUGACGUCUCUAGAAGACAUCUGAAAGAGAUUAAAGAUUUAUCGGUGAUGGAUGGGGAUGCGUCUGAUUAGCUUGUUGGCGGGGUAACGGCCCACAAGGCGACGAUCAGUAGGGGUUCUGAGAGGAAGGUCCCCCACAUUGGAACUGAGACACGGUCCAAAACUCCUACGGGAGGCAGCAGUGAGGAAUAUUGGUCAAUGGACGAGAGUCUGAACCAGCCAAGUAGCGUGCAGGAAGACGGCCCUAUGGGUUGUAAACUGCUUUUAUAAGGGAAUAAAGUUAGUCUCGUGAGACUUUUUGCAUGUACCUCAUGAAUAAGGACCGGCUAAUUCCGUG
rnacentral:rRNA from 1 species